rnacentral:tRNA from 1 species
GGAGGGAUGACCGAGUGGUCGAUGGUGGCGGUCUUGAAAACCGCUGAACCCGGAAGGGUUCCGGGGGUUCGAAUCCCUCUCCCUCCGCCA